UCCAACAGGCAUUGCCCCAGUAGCGGCGAGUGAGCGGCAGAGCUCAGAUUUGAAAUCGUGCUAUUUUUUUGGCACGAAUUGGAAAGGGGAAGGGGGAGGCUUUGGGGAGCACGGGGGCCCAGUCCCUUGGAACCGGGCGCCUGAAAAGGUGAAAACCCCCUGGGGUGCCCGGCCAAGCUUUGAAGCCCCGGUGACGAGUCGAGUUGGUUGGGAAUGGCGGUUCCAGGGGGUGGUAAAUUUCAUCUUAGGGUAAAUACUGGGGAAAAAACCAAAACGAACCAGUACUGGGAAGGAAAAAAGAAAAGCACUUUGAAAAAAAAAUGGAACAGGACGUGGAAUUGGUGAAAGGGAAAGGUAUUGGGCCCGACAUGGGGAAGGCGCACCCGUUUCUCUUGGAAGCGGCGCUCUGGGCCCUUUCUGGGCCCGCAUCGGUUCUUGCUGGGGGAAAAUGGGUGGCGGAAAGGGGCUCUUCGGAAUGGUAUUACCCGCGCCCGAUACCCGGGGCGGGGACCCAGGACUGCCGCUUCUGGCUUCGAUGCUGGCACCACGGCGCAAUACCGCCCUUCGAAAAACCCGGACCCA
rnacentral:rRNA from 1 species